GAUUCCCCUAGUAACUGCGAGUGAAGCGGGAAAAGCUCAAAUUUGAAAUCUGGCAGUCUAUUUUUUCUUCUUUGGCUGUCCGAGUUGUAAUCUAGAGAAGUGCUUACCUGCACUGGACCAUGUAUAAGUCUCCUGGAAUGGAGCGUCGCAGAGGGUGAGAAUCCCGUCUUUGACAUGGACYGCCAGUGUGUUGUGGUGUGCUCUCAAAGAGUCGAGUUGUUUGGGAAUGCAGCUCUAAAUGGGUGGUAAACUCCAUCUAAAGCUAAAUAUUGGCGAGAGACCGAUAGCGAACAAGUACCGUGAGGGAAAGAUGAAAAGGACUUUGGAAAGAGAGUUAAACAGUAUGUGAAAUUGUUGAAAGGGAAACGCUUGAAGUCAGUUAUGUCGGCUAGGGAUCAACCUAGCUCUUUUGCUGGGUGAAUUUCCUAUUCUGACAGGCCAACAUCAGUUUCGACUGCUGGAAAAGAGCGGAGGGAAUGUGGCACCUUCGGGUGUGUUAUAGCCCUUUGUCAUAUGUGGCAGUCGGGACUGAGGGAUGCAGCGUGCCGCGAGGCUGGGUUUCGACCACGUUCACGCUUAGGAUGUUGGCUUUUAAUGGCUUCAAUCGACCCGUCUUGAAACACGGACCAAGGAGUCUAACAUGCCUGCGAGUGUUUGGGUGGAAAACCCUUGCGCGCAAUGAAAGUGAAAGUUGAGAUCCCUGUCGUGGGGAGCAUCGACGCCCGGACUUGAGCUUUUAGCGACGGAUCCGCGGUAGAGCAUGCAUGUUGGGACCCGAAAGAUGGUGAACUAUGCCUGAAUAGGGCAAAGCCAGAGGAAACUCUGGUGGAGGCUCGUAGCGAUUCUGACGUGCAAAUCGAUCGUCAAAUUUG
rnacentral:rRNA from 1 species